UCAAAGAAAAAUCCAUAUGUAUUUUGUCAUUUUUCUUAAAUCUCUUUCAUCUACAGGUGCUUCCAACCAUUCUUAUUCACUGGGUACUGUGAUGAUGGGAAAGAAGAAUCCUUCACACCAAACUGAAUCUAAGGAUAAGUUGAUCUUCUCUUUGACCAGCCAUAAGGGGCAGAAGAGAGGAACAUCCUGUCAAGAUAAACAGGAGGCUUGGCUGCACAGACAGACCCAGGAGAAAUCCUGCUUUUGGAAAUUGCAUUGUGUACUCAGGCUUUGA
rnacentral:lncRNA from 1 species